CACAACUGUCAAAAAUUAACAGUCUACACGAAGGCCCUACACUUCUCUGAACACCGGAAGUGCAGGAAAUCAUAUGGUUUCACUCAUGCUAUACUUAAACAGUGCUGUAACUAGCACCAUUAAAAGAGGAGAAGUUGCUUGUUAUAAAGAAACAAGUUUGGUUCUCAUGUGCGAAGUUUAAGCAAAGAUAUGCCACCGUGAAAAUUAUUUGUUUAAUAAGAAUUGUUUGACUUUGA
rnacentral:lncRNA from 1 species